UCCCUUAUGAUUUGGGCCACACACGUGCUACAAAUGGCUGUGGAUACAAAGGGAAGCGAACCCUGGUGAAGCGUUGGAGCAAAUCCUCAUAAAUACACACAGUUCUCCAGUUCGGAUUGUAGUCUGCAACUCGCCUACAUGAAGUUGGAAUCGCUAGUAAUCGCGGAUCAGAAUGUACGGUGAGGCGUUCCCGNUNUAUGUNUACAA
rnacentral:rRNA from 1 species